rnacentral:lncRNA from 1 species
GAUGAGGGCUUGGGGCUAUGGUCUGCAAGUGUGAAGUGGAAGGCUUGACAACCUGCUGCUGGGAGGAGCUGGGUUAGUGAUACCUGGUAGUUACAGUACUCACUCCUCAGUCCAUCUUCAUUCCAGGUUUGACAGGAUCAGACUGAAUAACUAGCUUUAGCAGGAUCAGGACUUCCAAGGGCUGGAGACAAAGUGUUCUGCACUGUUAGAUUACAUGACUCUUAACCUUGGCAUUUUCUGAUCCUGACAUCAGUCUACACUAACAACAAGCAACAGAAAAGUAGAAAGAGGGCUGGGGGAGAGAAGUAUGAAGCAAUAAGUUGUUUGCUUAUUCUUUUCUAAAUUGCUUAGCUACCAUGGAGAUAAGCAUAGCACAGAUACCAAGAGGAACUAAUGUUAUUCCCGCACAUGUUAUUCGACAGCACUGUGUACGAUUAUAAAGCUUUAAAAAUAAAAUAUCUUAGUGAUUGAAUUUUGGAAUUCUGAACCUCAGAUCAGUGAACAGUAUUGCCUUUCAAGAGAGAAAAAAAAAAAAAAAAAAAAAAAAAAAAAAAAAAAAAAAAAAAGCUGCAUGAAGAGUUACUCUUUAAAUUAUUUUCUACAUAUUUGUAAGAACAUAGCAAAAAGUGUCUUCAUUUAUAUUAAAUCAGGAUUUUAUAGCUCAAAGCUGUGAAGAAAAUCUGCGAAUCAAUUUCAUGAUAUUGACUUCUCUCUUAAAGCUAGUUCCUAUUUAAUCUAACCACAAACAGAUUUAGUA